GGAAGGGUGGCAGAGUGGUCGAUUGCACCGGUCUUGAAAACCGGCAGGCUCUCACGAGUCUCGUGGGUUCGAAUCCCACCCCUUCCGCCA
rnacentral:tRNA from 1 species